rnacentral:rRNA from 1 species
ACCGUACUCCUACGGGAGGCAGCAGUGGGGAAUAUUGCACAAUGGGGGAAACCCUGAUGCAGCGACGCAGCGUGCGGGAUGACGGCCUUCGGGUUGUAAACCGCUUUCAGCAGGGAAGAAGCGCAAGUGACGGUACCUGCAGAAGAAGUACCGGCUAACUACGUGCCAGCAGCCGCGGUAAUACGUAGGGUACGAGCGUUGUCCGGAAUUAUUGGGCGUAAAGAGCUCUGAGGUGGUUGGUCACGUCUGCUGUGGAAACGCAACGCUUAACGUUGCGCGUGCAGUGGGUACGGGCUGACUAGAGUGCAGUAGGGGAGUCUGGAAUUCCUGGUGUAGCGGUGAAAUGCGCAGAUAUCAGGAGGAACACCGGUGGCGAAGGCGGGACUCUGGGCUGUAACUGACACUGAGGAGCGAAAGCAUGGGGAGCGAACAGGAUUAGAAACCCGUGUGUCCUUGAC